GAUGAACGCUGGCGGCGUGCUUAACACAUGCAAGUCGAACGAAGCAUUUAAGACAGAUUCCUUCGGUUUGAAGUCUUUUAUGACUGAGUGGCGGACGGGUGAGUAACGCGUGGGUAACCUGCCUCAUACAGGGGGAUAGCAGCUGGAAACGGCUGGUAAUACCGCAUAAGCGCACAGUACCACAUGGUACAGUGUGAAAACCUCCGGUGGUAUGAGAUGGACCCGCGUCUGAUUAGCUUGUUGGCGGGGUAACGGGCCACCAAGGCGACGAUCAGUAGCCGACCUGAGAGGCGGGCCGGCCACAUUGGCGCGGAGACACGGUCCAGACUCUUACGGGAUGCAGCAGUGGGGAAUAUUGCACAACGGAGGAAACUAUGAUGCACCGACGCCGCGUGAGUGAAGAAGUAGUUGGCGAUGUAAAGCUCUAUCAGCAGGGAAGAUAGUGACGGUACCUGACGAAGAAGCUCCGGCUAAAUACGUG
rnacentral:rRNA from 1 species